CAGAGGAAGAGCGGAGGUUGCGUUUAGGGUUAUCCAUUAGCUGAUUACACCAUUUUGGCUAUGCCGUCUUUUUAGGACUUCGAAUUUUGUCUAAUGGUUUGGAUUGUUCGUACUUGGUUUUAUUUUAUUCAAGAAAUAUUUGUAUGUAAGAAGCAGAAUUUUAAACUUAAUUCUAUAUUGAAUCGGUAACCAACGAAGACUGUACAAUAUUGGAAUAAUAUGAGAGGACUGUUUUGCCUGUGUUAUAAGCCUAGCUGCACAAUUUUGUACUUUUUAUACGCCCACAUUGAAAUGUGGUCGUAUAUUGUCGCCAUGAGAUGAAGAAUCCUAUUGAUUUUCAGCGAUUUCCGAUAAUUACUGCCAGAGUUAUGGCCCUUGAUCACUUCAAAAAAUCUUGUGGACGCUCUAGAGGCCAAAGUUAAUAUCCGAUUGACUUUAAAUUUACACACAGUGUUUAAGGUCAUGAGACGAAGAAUCCUAUUGAUUUUCAGCGAUUUCCGAUAAUUACUGCCAGAGUUAUGGCCAUUGAUCACUCCAAAAAAUCUUGUGGACGCUCUAGAGGCCAAAGUUAAUAUCCGAUUUACUUUAAAUUUAUACACAGUGCUUAAGGUCAUGAGACGAAGAAGCCUAUUGAUUUUUAGCGAUUUCCGAUAAUUACAGCCAGAGUUAUGGCCCUUGAUCACUUCAAAAAAUCUUGUGGACGCUCUAGAGGCUAAAGUUAAUAUCCGAUUGACUUUAAAUUUAUAUAGAGUGUUUAAGGCCAUGAGAUGAAGAAGACUAUUGAUUUUCAGCGAUUUCCGAUA